rnacentral:lncRNA from 1 species
UUUACCUAAAUGAAUGGUAAAUAAAACAUAAUUAUAAAUAAUAUAACUAAAAAUUUAAAUAGCAUAUUGAAAAAUAAAGAAUAAAAAACUGAAAAAAAAUUCUAAAGGUCUACUACCCUAGUAUGAUAUUGUUUGCCGCCUCUGGCAUGAGUUAUUAGGUCUUCUUGUUUUUGUCUAGUUUUUGUUCCUUUUUGUUUAUCAGUUUGCAUUCGGCGCCUUAAGCUCUUUUACUCCUACGAUUUGGAGAAAAUUGGUAUCGUUUUCUGGCCAUCAAACCUGCAAUCAUGGAAGCCGAAUUAGCCCAUUGACACAUAAUGAAGAAGAAGAAGAAAUUUUGUAGAUCUAGGUAGAUCCGUGCACGGAAAGAGAAUUGGGGGAGUUUCAACUAGUAGGUUGCUUCCUAACAGCCAGUAUAAUCCACUUUCCAGCCAUGAAAAGUACUAUGACAAACCUGUGGCAUCCUGUUCGUGGGGUUCAAAUUCAAGAUCUGGGAGAAAAAAGGUAUCUUUUUCAGUUCUUUCAUAAUAUGGACAUGGAAAGGGUUUUGAAAGGUUCACCAUGGACUUUUAAUUAUCAUUUAUUGGUGCUUUACAAAUUAAAAAGGGGGGAUGAUCUAUUAAGAGUACCAUUAAUUCUUACUCCUUUCUGGGUACAAAUUCACGAUGUCCCAAAUUGGGUUGUUUUCUGAAAAUUUAGCAACACAACUGGUAAAUUUUAUAGGGUUUUUUUAGAAUAUGAUGGAUCAAAUUUGGGGAAUUAAAAUCGCAAUUACAUGAGAAUAAGAGUACAGAUUGAUAUUCGAUGCCCUUUGAAAAGAAAGAAACAGGUUAUGUAUUGUGGGAGAUGUUCGUAUGUUAAAUUUAAGUAUGAACGUUUAUCUCUUUUCUAUUUCAAUUGUGGACGUUUGAGGCAUAGCGACUCUUUUUGUGAGGCAAAAAUGAUGCUAGGGGUGGAAAUUGCUAAAAUGGGGUGGGAUUUAUCAUUGAGAGCACAAUCUUGAAGAGCUGCAUCAAUGAAUAGCAUAUGGCCAUGAGAAGAAGGUGCAGGAAAAAGGGAAGGCAGCUGGCAGGAUAAUAGGAUUUUGGGAUGUAGAUCAUGGGAGGGGACAAAUAAAGAAAGAAGCGGGCAAUUUAUUGAUCCACAUUUGGGAUUUAACAUAGAAGAGGGAACGUCAUCUCUUGAUGAAAGGAAGGAAAAAAUUGGCUGGAUCAGAUGCAAACUGCCAUAGAACAUGAUUUAGAAGAUAGUAUUUUAAUAGGGGAGGAAGGGAAAAAGUGUAAUCGGGGGGAGAUGGAAGAUUCGACAGGAAAGGAAGAAAGUGAUAAUGCAAUGGCAAGGUGUAGAAGAACGGUUAAUUUUAAUCUUGUAUAAUCAGCGGCUGCCACAAGGCAAGCCGAUCAGGCGCAAUGAAAAUCAUAAGUUGGAAUGUUCGUGGUUUGGGGAGUCCACGAACGAUUCUUAGACUUUGAAAUUUUUUGAAGUCACAUCAUCCCCAAAUUGUCUUCUUUAUGGAGACAAAGCUUUGUAAAAGACAGAUGGAACGAGUACGUAGAAAUUUUGGUUUUGUGAAUGGUAUUGAAGUUGAUUUAGAUGGUACGAGAGGCGGACUGUGUUUAGCUUAGAGGAAUGAUGUUAAUAUUACACUUUAUAAUUUUUCUAAAAGAAAUAUUGAUGUGGUGAUUGAAGACAAAGAAUAAGGAACCGAUUAGAGAUUUACAGGAUUUUCUGGAUCCCCAUAUGCACAAGAUAGGAUCGAUUCAUGGGCUGUUUUGAAAAGUUUGAUUUCUAACAUGGAUAUCCCUUGGUUGGUUUGCGGAGACUUUAAUUUGGUAAAAAAAUGAGGGCUGCCUAGAGAUGAAAGAAUGAUGGAAUUGUUUCGAAAAACUUUGGAGGAAUGUUAACUGAAUGACGUGGGUUUUUCUGGAAAUUGGUUCACUUGGGAAAGAGGCAAUCUAUCAGAGACAAAUAUACAAGAACGAUUUGAUAGAGGUACUGCUAAUGUAGCAUGGAUUACUUUGUUCUCAGCGGUGAAAGUUCAACACCUUAUACACUUUUUUUCAGACCACUGGCCUCUCUUAAUUAAUAUAAGAAUGAACGAAGAACGAUUAAGGAAUUGUACUUUCAAAUUCGAAGCUUGGUAGGCUUUAGAGGAUGCUUUCCUUACUGAAGUUAAGGUUCUAUAGGAGAAGUCUUCAAGGGAUCUAUUACAGAAGCUAGAGAAUUUUAAAAAAAGGCUAAAAUAGUGGGCUGGGCAAAUUCAAGCAAAUAGGAAAAAGAAAAAACAUGUACUACUGGAAAAAUUAGCUGAGCUGGCUGAAGCUGAUAGAGAUGACAAAAAUUUGGCUGAAUUGAUUGACACGAAAAUUUAUUUAAAUUUUGACAUUGAGAAAGAUGAACGUUAUUGGAAGCAGAGGGCCAGACUAAAUUGGUUGAAAUUUGAGAAUAAAAAUACAGUAUUUUUUCGAAGUCAAGCGUCACAGCUUCGAAGGACAAAUUUUAUUCAUAGGUUGCAAAAUGAAGCUGGGAGAGAAAUGAAGGCCUUACAGGGAAUCGAGGAGGCUGCACGAUAUUAUUUUCUAAAUUUGUUUUCUGUAGUGGAGAGGGAAAACUAUGACCAUUUGAUGACAGGAAUUGAUCGGUGUGUGUAUGAGGAAGACAAUCGAUAGCUUACAGCACUUUACACAAAAGAGGAGAUUCAAGAAGCAGUGUUUACCAUGGGACCCACAAAGGCACCAGGGGAAGAUGGAUUACUAGACCUUUUUUAUCAGAAAUACUGGCACAUUAUUGGAGAGGAAGUCACCUCUUUUUGUUUACAACUUUUAAAUGGGGACAUAGAGGUGAGUUUAAUUAAUUCUACUAAUAUAGUGCUUAUUCUGAAAGUUUCCAAUCCUUCUAAUAUGAUGUAGAUUAGGCCAAUUAGUUUAUACAAUGUACUUUACAAAAGCUUGGCUAAGGUAAUCGCAAAUCGAUUUAGAGGAGUUAUUGAAAAAUGUAUUGAUGGCACGCAGAGUGCCUUUGUGCCAGGACGAUUAAUAUCAAACAAUGUCUUAUUAGCCUAUGAAACAUUGUAUAUGCUAAAACAUAAGAGAUUGGGGAAGAAAAGAUAUAUGGCAUUUAAACUCGACAUGAGUAAAGUAUAUGAUAGGGUCUAAUAGAAUUUCAUAAGGGAGAUAAUGGUACGAAUGGGAUUUGAUCAAAAAUGGGUUGAUGCUCUUAUGAAAUGUGUAACUAUUAUUUCUUAUUCAGUGGUCAUAAUGGGCAUAUUGGGUAAAAGUUUCUACCCACAAGAGGUCUCAGACAUGGCGAUCCUCUAAGCCCAUUCCUAUUUCUUUUAUGUGGAGAGGGUUUUUUGAGCUUAUUAAGACUUGUAACAAAUGAGUGGUUUUUUAAAGGUGUUAAGAUUAGUAGAAGUGUUCCACCAAUUUCCCACCUUCUAUUUGCCGAUGAUUGUAUUUUAUUUGGGGAGGCUACAACCGAGGGAGCAAACUUAUUCAAUGACAUCUUACGUGAAUAUAAAUCGUGUUCGGGUCAAUGCAUGAACUUCGACAAAUCAACAGUAUUUUUUCAUAGGUAUACUACGGAAGAAGAUAGAAGAUUAGUUGUCAACUUACUGGGGGUCGCAGCUCGAAUGAACCAGAACGAUACUUAAGGUUGCCGAGUAUGGUGGGUCGGAGGAAAAAAGAAUCUUUUCAAAAUAUGAAGGAUCGACUCCAAAAGUGGAUUGAUAAUUGGAGUAAUAGGCUCUUAUCACAGGGUGGAAAAGAAAUUUUUAUAAAGGCCAUUUUUCAGGCUAUACCUACUUAUAAGAUGACUUGUUUUUUUAUUACAUAAAGCUCUAUGUGAUGAACUUGAAAGUAUUGUUGCAAGGUUCUGGUGGCAGAAGGGACAUGGAAAAAAAGGUAUCCAUUGGUGUGUUUGGAAAAACCUCUGUUUUUUGAAAAAAAAUGGUAGAUUAGGUUUUCGAAAUUAUGAUCAAUUCAAUAUUGCGUUAUUAGCCAAAAAAGGCUGGCGUCUUAUUAAUUAUCCAAAUUCAUUAUUGGACAGAUUUUUAAAAGCAAAGGAAUUUACCUUCACUUACUUGGAAGAGUAUUUGGGCUGCAAAGGGACUUCUUCAAAGAAGGUUGUGCUGGAGAGUGGGUAGAGGGGAUAACAUUUCAAUUUGGGACAAUAGUUGGGUUUAGGGGAUCGACAAAGUUGAAGGAAACAACUGACCAGAAAAUGAGGAGUUAGUCAGUUUCGGAUCUCAUUAACAUUCCAAACAAAAAGUGGAAGACGGAUUUGAUUUAAAAUACCUUUUCAGGAGAAAUUGCGAAGAAAAUUUUAUAGAUCCCACUUGCAGAGACGGACCGUGAAGAUAUUCAAGUCUAGAAAGGAGAACCAUCCGAGGAAUUUUCAGUUUGCAGCGCCUAUAAACUAUUACAAUGGGCUAAUCCGGAUCCUAGUAAUUUCUUAAUACAAACCGAAACUACAGAUUUCUACAAAAAAUUAUGGGGUUUACAGCUUCCUUCAAAAAUCACUAUAAUUAUUUGGCGAAUCUCUUGGGAUUUCAUCCUUCAUCUAGCUAAUCUCAGAUACCGAAGAGUUUCUACAAGUGACAGAUGUCCCUGUUGCCGUUCUUAGGUUGAAACAGUCCUUAUUUUUUUCGUCAAUGCCCUGUAACAACAGAAGUGUGGCAUUUUUUACAUCUAUCUUGGGUCAUGAACAAUAUGAAUCAAACUAUAUGGGAGUGGCUUACCUAGGUUUUCAAGAGAGGAACUGGGGAACAAUGUUGCCUUUUUUGUAUUGCUUUAUGGCUAAUCUGGUUUUCUAGAAAUCAACUCAUUCACGAGAGGAAGGAAAAGACAGGUAGAGAACUUGCUCAUCGAAUACAGAGGUAUAUGGCAGAAAAUGAAGGGGUGAGAGAAACUCCGAAUCCCUUCAACACAAACAAGAAUCACAGAGGUCAGAAGGACAUAUCGAGAAUAACGAUCCAGUUCAAUGUGGCGUUCGACAUUCGAAACUUCAAAUCAGCAACAAGCCUGGUGGUUUGGGGCUUGACGGGCGAGCUCCUGGUCUUAAAGUCGACCCUUCACAACAAUGUUUCUUCCCCGUUCGCAGCAGAAGCAUUUGCAUGUUUGGAAGGCAAAAAGUUAGGGAUAUCAAUGGAUAUCCAAUCGAUUAAAAUCAUGAGGGAUUCUAGAACAAUAAUUAAAAAAUGUCAAACGUCUUCAACAGAUAAAUCAGAGAUCGGAGUGAUCAUAAAAGACAUUCAGAACAGGAAAGUUUAUUUUCAAGAGAUUAUCUUUCAGCAUAUUCAUAGAUCAGGGAACUCACAAGCACACAGAUUCGUAAAGAAUACUCUAGAUAGAUGAGAGAUCUCUUACCUGGUAGGAGAGGAGUUGAAUCGACAUCCUUUCGACUCGGAGGGAAGAUGGUCAAGAAGACCAGAUUAAAGAAGGAGAUAAGGAAUCUGAUUUCAAAAGUGAUAGUAAAUAAAAGCUUUAUUCUUGAAAAUAGCUAUCGUCAGAACGAAUGGGUGCUUUGAAAUGACAAAUCAAUGAAUGGUAGUGGAGGCCAGCCGUUUGAAUUGACUGGGUAGAUAUUUAGUUUCCUGUUUUCCGUCAGAAUCAUUUAAUGCUUUUUGUUUCCUUUAAGUUACGUUUAUUUUACAGUUUUUUUAGGAGGGCCCAUUAAUAUACAAGUUAAUGUGGCCAGAUUUGAAUUUAGGUUUGAUGUAAUAGGACUGGGCCAUGGGUCUUUAUUGGGUUUUUUUGUUAUUUUUUCUCUUCUUUUUUAAUAAUAUACCCGGUCUAUUGAUUUUAAAAAAAAAACUUAAUUUGCAUAAUUUAAAAGGAAAAAU